UCGGAAGGACUGCAGAGGUUAAAAGGGAAGCAGGUGCAAGGCCUGCGCGAACUCGUCACUGUAUAUGCGGAAUGCUGUUGUCGCAGCGUAUUGACCACUGGGGUGACCCGGGAAGGCAGAUGACAGCGUGAUGAUGCAUGAGCCAGGAAACCUGCCGUAUAG
rnacentral:ncRNA from 1 species